GAUGAACGCUAGCGGCAGGCCUAAUACAUGCAAGUCGAACGGUGUCUUCGGACAUAGUGGCGCACGGGUGCGUAACACGUAUGCAACCUACCUUACAUUGGGGGAUAGCCUUUCGAAAGGGAGAUUAAUACCGCAUAAGACAGUAGCUGGGCAUCCAGCAGCUGUUAAAGAUUUAUCGAUGUAAGCUGGGCAUGCGUCCAAUUAGCUAGUUGGUGAGGUAACGGCUCACCAAGGCAAUGAUUGGUAGGGGAACUGAGAGGUCAAUCCCCCACACUGGCACUGAGAUACGGGCCAGACUCCUACGGAGGCAGCAGUAGGGAAUAUUGAGCAAUGGACGCAAGUCUGACCCAGCCAUGCCGCGUGCAGGAUGAAGGCGUUAUGCGUUGUAAACUGCUUUUAUACAGGAAGAAACGACUCUUGCGAGAGGCAUUGACGGUACUGUAUGAAUAAGCACCAGCUAACUCCGUGCCAGCAGCCGCCGCAGUAA
rnacentral:rRNA from 1 species